rnacentral:rRNA from 1 species
UACGGGAGGCAGCAGGGGGGAAUAUUGCACAAUGGGCGAAAGCCUGAUGCAGCUAUGCCGCGUGUAUGAAGAAGGCCUUAGGGUUGUAAAGUACUUUCAUCGGGGAGGAAAAAACAAAACUAAUAAUUUUAUUUCUUGACGUUACCCGAAAAAGAAGCACCGGCUAACUCCGUGCCAGCAGCCGCGGUAAUACGGAGGGUGCUAGCGUUAAUCAGAAUUACUGGGCGUAAAGAGCACGUAGGUGGUUUUUUUAAAGUCAGAUGUGAAAUCCCUGGGCUUAACCUAGGAACUGCAUUUUGAAACUGAAAUACUAGAGUAUCGUAGAGGGAGGUAGAAUUCUAGGUGUAGCGGUGAAAUGCGUAGAUAUCUGGAGGAAUACCUGUGGCGAAAGCGGCCUCCUAAACGAAUACUGACACUGAGGGUGCGAAAGCGUGGGGAGCAAACAGGGAUUAGAUACC